rnacentral:rRNA from 1 species
GGGGGCGAUUUUACCUGUAAUAGUCAGUGCAACAUUAUAUAGACUUCAUGCUGAUGCUUCCGCGUCUACAUGGAACUAUAUAAGCAGGUGAGACUUCUUAGAGGGACUGGCACACAAUAUAAAGUGCACGAGGAAGAGCAAUAACAGGUCUGUGAUGCCCUAAGAUGUCCGGGGCCGCACGCGUGCUACAAUGACGAUGCAAGUGAGCAUGAUUUACCUGGUUCGAAAGGAUUGGGAAAACUGUUCAAUCAUCGUCGUGACUGGGAUUGGGGUUUGUAAUUAUCCCCCAUGAACGAGGAAUUCCUAGUAAGCACAAGUCAUAAGCUUGUGCUGAUUACGUCCCUGCCCUUUGUACACACCGCCCGUCGCUACUACCGAUUGAAUGGUUUAGCAAGGUUAUUGGAUUGGCCUUUUGCGGCUCGCGCUGCAUUAAGCUGAGAAGAUGACCGAACUUGAUCAUUUAGAGGAAGUAAAAGUCGUAACAAGGUUUCCGUAGGUGAACCUGCGGAAGGAUCAUUAUCCAAAUAUUCCUAUCCAAACUGACUUGCGCUGGCUGUUCUCUAACGCCCGGGAACAGCUGGACUAGUCGCCACCUCAAUACUCUCUUUCUAACGGGUAUUGUCGUUUCGAUACAGUCCGUUGACUGGGGCUACGGCCGACGCAUGUGGCAACCAGGUGGUAGUGGUUGGCUCUUAGCGUUGGUCGUCCUAUGCUUCCCUCAGUACAACACUGCCACUAUGCCAUUUCUCCAUUUUCACUCACACACGAUGACAGUGUCUUCGGGCAUUGUUGUUAAAUCACCAUAACAAAGGUCAGCUUUGCCACUGGCGAAGAGGAUCAAUAUAUAUAAACCAAAUAAAAUGUACAACUUCAGGUGGGGAUCCUCGUCGGGGUCAUAAAAAAAAAAAACCCCCCA